rnacentral:rRNA from 1 species
UACAGAGGUCUCAAGCGUUGUUCGGAUUCAUUGGGCGUAAAGGGCGCGUAGGCGGCGCGGUAAGUCGGGUGUGAAAUCUCGGAGCUUAACUCCGAAACUGCAUUCGAUACUGCCGUGCUUGAGGACUGGAGAGGAGAUUGGAAUUCACGGUGUAGCAGUGAAAUGCGUAGAUAUCGUGAGGAAGACCAGUGGCGAAGGCGGAUCUCUGGACAGUUCCUGACGCUGAGGCGCGAAGGCCAGGGGAGCAAACGGG